UGUAAGGCCAAACCCCGCCUCCUCCAUCCUGCCCCCCCAGCAUCCCGAUGGAGACUGCAGGAUGCUGACACAGAAAGCCUGCAGUUGCUGGGAGCUUCUCCAGGAUGCAGCCUGUGCGAGGAAAAAGGUUUGGACAAGAAGAAGAAGAGGAAAGAGAAACAAAAGUCCUCGGUUUGAGUCAGGGACAGAUUUCGAGCUGAGAGCUGGUUGCUGGGUGGGGGCUGUGGAAGGGACACAUGCAGUUCCUGGUUAUGGCUCUUCUGCCCCCUGACCCACCUUGCGAAGCUCCUGUCAACCCAGAGGGGGGACUCAGCUGCAGCAGGAAGUGGCCUCUCAGGAAGGACUCAGGGCAAGCAAGUGCAGGGAAGAGUGGAGAAGCUGGUUUCUAAUUCCCAGAGCAUCUGAAGUCAGCACUCUUGGAUUUCUAAUUUGGCAUGGAGGCUGAUCCAGGAGCAAAAUUCCCCCACAGCAGGACCUACCUCAGGUUUAAGGAAGCCAAUCUCCUAGGCAAGGUGACCUCCAGCCCUAAAAAGGAUCUACCCAGCCUGUCUAAAGAUGAUUCUCCAUUCGGAAGGGUAAGAAAAAAGACUGAGGCGCAGCCCAAGAGCCCAGGGAAGGAUUUAGGAAGUGAAGAGCUCAUAAUGAAUGGCUAUUCUUGGGUUUUGGUUCCAAGGCAGAAAAUCUG